rnacentral:rRNA from 1 species
AACGAGCGCAACCCCUGUCCUUUGUUGCCAUCACGUAAUGGUGGGAACUCUAGGGAGACUGCCGGUGAUAAACCGGAGGAAGGUGGGGAUGACGUCAAGUCAUCAUGGCCCUUACGGCCAGGGCUACACACGUGCUACAAUGGCGCGUACAGAGGGCUGCAAGCUAGCGAUAGGGAGCGAAUCCCAAAAAGCGCGUCCUAUUCCGGAUCGAAGUCUGCAACUCGACUCCGUGAAGUCGGAAUCCCUAGUAAUCGCAAAUCACAAUGUUGCGGUGAAUACGUUCCCGGGCCUUGUAAACCCCGCCCGUAA